GACGAACGCUGGCGGCGUGCUUAACACAUGCAAGUCGAACGGAAAGGCCCUGCUUUUGUGGGGUGCUCGAGUGGCGAACGGGUGAGUAACACGUGAGUAACCUGCCCUUGACUUUGGGAUAACUUCAGGAAACUGGGGCUAAUACCGGAUAGGAGCUCCUGCUGCAUGGUGGGGGUUGGAAAGUUUCGGCGGGUGGGGAUGGACUCGCGGCUUAUCAGCUUGUUGGUUGGGUAGUGGCUUACCAAGGCUUUGAAGGGUAGCCCGCCUGAGAGGGUGACCGGCGACAUUGGGACUGAGAUACGGCCCAGACUCCUACGUGAGGCAGCAGGGGGGAAUAUUGCACAAUGGGCGGAAGCCUGAUGCAGCAACGCCGCGUGCGGGAUGACGGCCUUCGGGUUGUAAACCGCUUUCGCCUGUGACGAAGCGUGAGUGACGGUAAUGGGUAAAGAAGCACCGGCUAACUACGUG
rnacentral:rRNA from 1 species